AUUGAACGCUGGCGGCAGGCCUAACACAUGCAAGUCGAGCGGAUGAAGGGAGCUUGCUCCUGGAUUCAGCGGCGGACGGGUGAGUAAUGCCUAGGAAUCUGCCUGGUAGUGGGGGAUAACGUCCGGAAACGGGCGCUAAUACCGCAUCCGUCCUGAGGGAGAAAGUGGGGGAUCUUCGGACCUCACGCUAUCAGAUGAGCCUAGGUCGGAUUAGCUAGUUGGUGGGGUAAAGGCCUACCAAGGCGACGAUCCGUAACUGGUCUGAGAGGAUGAUCAGUCACACUGGAACUGAGACACGGUCCAGACUCCUACGGGAGGCAGCAGUGGGGAAUAUUGGACAAUGGGCGAAAGCCUGAUCCAGCCAUGCCGCGUGUGUGAAGAAGGUCUUCGGAUUGUAAAGCACUUUAAGUUGGGAGGAAGGACAGUAAGUUAAUACCUUGCUGUUUUGACGUUACCAACAGAAUAAGCACCGGCUAACUUCGUG
rnacentral:rRNA from 1 species